UGACUGUGCAAAGGUAGCAUAGUAGCUUGUCUUUUAAUUGGAGACUGGAAUGAAAGGUUUAACAAGACUCUAGCUUUGUAUUUUAAGCGUUUGAAAUUGAAAUGGCUGUAAAAAUGCAGGCAUACGACUAAGGGACGAUAAGACCCUAUAAAUUUUUAUACUUGGAAACAUAUUAAGAAAUUAACGAAUUAAGUAUUUCGUUGGGGCAACAUAAUUGUGUAAAUUAAUUAUAUACGGACACUAUUCGUGGAUAAAAGAGCUUACGCUACAAAAGAGAAAAAUACUUUAGGGAUAACAGCGUAACAACUCUAGAGAGCUCUUAUCGACAGAGUUAUUUACGACCUCGAUGUUGAAUUAGAAUUUCUUCUAGGUGCAGCAGCUUAGAGAAGAUAGCCUGUUCGGCUACAAACAUUCUACAUGAUCUGA
rnacentral:rRNA from 1 species